UACGUAGGCAGCAAGCGUUGUUCGGAGUUACUGGGCGUAAAGGGUGUGUAGGCGGCUCUUUAAGUUUGGUGUGAAAUCUCCCGGCUCAACUGGGAGGGUGCGCCGAAUACUGAGGGACUAGAGUACGGGAGAGGAAAGUGGAAUUCCUGGUGUAGCGGUGAAAUGCGUAGAUAUCAGGAGGAACACCGGUGGUGUAGACGGCUUUCUGGACCGACACUGACGCUGAGACACGAAAGCGUGGGUAGCAAACAGG
rnacentral:rRNA from 1 species